GGCUCAAUGGUCUAGUCGUAUGAUUCCUGCUUUGGGUAUGCUUUCACACAACUGCAGGAGGUCCCGGGUUCAAAUCCCGGUUGAGCCC